CUCUGGUCGAAAUGGGUGCGUUUCUAACGAAAUACAUCGCGCUUACGGAAAGAGGGUAAAAAUAAUACAAAGCAUCCUUGUUUAUUUUGGCUGUCUUUUCUUCAGCUCUUUUUAAGAAGAAACAUUUUAAGAAAUAAGACAUUCUGGAAACAGUCGUCUUUCCCUCAGUGAGCCCAUCGCCUCCUUCCUCGGAGGUAAGCACCACCGUAAAUAUGGUGUUUAUCAUCCUCAUGCGUGUUUUACACUGUGCUGCAUAUGUACGUGCCCAGAAACAAUGCAGGGUGUGCUCUGCGUGUUUCCAAACUUCCCACACAUGGUCCCAGAACGGGCGCCUCCUUCUGCGACUUGCUCUCUUCCACUCAACGUGUUGUUUUUUUUAAUUUUUCAGGACACGUCCAGGCUGAUUUGUAAAGCUCUGCGUCGUGCAUUUCCCCUGCAGUAUAGUAUUUCAUUGUGGAAACAGACGAGAUUUAACUUAUCUUAUUGGUUUCCAAUUUUCCACUCUCACCAGCAUGAUCAUCCCCGCCUCGCCCGCGUGUAAGAGUGCCUUUUAAGAACACGCAUGUGGGGACUCUCUCCUGGACACGUCUGCCUCCCCGGCCGGACACAGAGCCGUCACCGCCGCGCCUCCGGGGCCCAGUACGACGGUGGGCGUGUGGGGUUCACCGAGCUGACGUGCGGAACCGUGAUUUCCCAGCCCCUGCACUUACAGAGACAAAGCUGGGAGUGCUGAAGACAUCAGAAGAUGCCCCGCUACACUCGUCAUCAGGGAAACGCAAAUCAAAGCCAGUGAGGCAACCCCUCGACUUGUGGGAAUGGCGAAGACCAACGCAAGAAACAGCCGGUGCCGGUGAGGAUGCGGAGAAGGGGACCCUCGUGCGCUGCUGGUGGGGACGCACGCGGUGCGGCCCCUGCGGAACAGCACGGAGGGUGCGUGGAGAGCUAACGACUGCGGCGCCCGGGGGCUCAGUCGGUGGAGCGCCCGGCUUCGGCUCAGGUCAUGAUCUCGAGGUCCGUGGGUUCCGGCCCCGCAUCGGGCUCUGUGCUGACAGCUCCGAGCCUGGAGCCUGCUUCCAAUUCUGUGUCUCCCUCUCUCUCUGACCCUCCCCUUCUCGUGCUCUCUCUCUCUCAAAAAUAAAUAAAACAUUUAAAAAAAAUUUUAAAGCUACAAGCAGAACUAACCUACGAUCCAGCAAUCGUACAAGGGAUUUACCCAAAUACAAAAUACUAAUUCAGAGGGACACGUGCACCCUGAUGUUACAGCAGCGUUAUCUACAGUACCCAAAUUAUGCGAACAGCCUGUGUCCAGGGACAGAUGCAUGAAUAAAGGAGAUAUGGUGUGUGUGUGUGUGUGUGUGUGUGUGUGUGUGUGUGUGUGUGUGGACACACACAAUGGGCUAUUACUCAGCUGGUAAAAAGGAGGAAAUCCUUUGGCGACAGCACGGAGCUGGAGAGGAUUCUGCUAAGCAAAAUAAGUCAGAGAAAGACAACUACCAUAGGAUUUCACUCGCCUGUGGAACUUAAAUAAAGCAGGGGCACCUGGGUCGGUCGGUUAAGCAUCUGAUACUCCACCUCAGCUCAGGCCAUGAUCUCAUGGUUUGUAGGUUCAAGCUCCAUGUUGGGCUCUGUGCUGACAGCGUGAAGCCUGCUUGGGAUCCCGUCUUUCCCUUUCUCUGCCCUUUCCCACGCUAGUUCUCUGUCUCUCUCUCAAAAUAAAUAAACAAAGAUUAAAAAUUAAAAAACAGGGGCCCCUGUGUGGCUCAGUCACUUGGGCAUCCAACUCUGACUCAGGUCACAGUCUCACGGCUUCUGAGUUCGAGCCCCACGUCGGGCUCUGUGCUGACCAAGCAGGGCCUGGAGCCUGCUUCAGAUUCUGUGUCUCCCUCUCUCUCUCUGCACCUUCCCCGCUCAUGCUCUGUCUCUUUUUCUCUCUCAAGAAUAAAUAAAACAUUUAAAAAAAAUUUUAAUAAAAAAACAAGCAAAUGGACAGAGAGAGAAAGAGGCAAACUGAGAAACAGACUCUUAAGUAUAG
rnacentral:lncRNA from 1 species